rnacentral:rRNA from 1 species
AAAGACUCUCGACAACGGAUAUCUCGGCUCUUGCAUCGAUGAAGAACGUAGCGAAAUGCGAUACUUGGUGUGAAUUGCAGAAUCCCGUGAACCAUCGAGUCUUUGAACGCAAGUUGCGCCCGAAGCCAUUAGGCUGAGGGCACGCCUGCCUGGGUGUUGCACAU